AAAAAUAAAAAUCCAGAAGCUUAACCGAGGACCAAGCUCAUUGCGGGAGCUGCCGUCAAACUCCCAAUAUCACCACCAUCUCCCAUCAAAUUAUCAUUAACAACUUCACCAUCUUCUCCUUCUCCAAUUUGUCACUCAUUGCCUUUCCCUUUGCUUCUACGCAGAAACCCCAAAUUGACCAUCUGCCAUGCCAAGUUUGGUGGAUCGUUUGGAGAAGCAGCAGAGAGGAUGUACCGAAUGAAUUUUGAAGGAGAUGAAUUGGUAGAGGAAGAGGAUGAAGAAGAUAGCGAUGAGGAAGAGGAGACAGAGAGCAGUAUCGAUUUGCUAAUGAGGUUAGUGGGGAGCAUGUUCAAGAAGGUUUCAAAGCGUGCUAGGAAAGCUACUCGUUCUAUACUGCCGGACGUCAUUCCUCCACAGCUUUUUCAGUUCAUUCUCAUACUUGUGGACAGAAGAGCAGAGGAGGUCGUGAUGUUUUAGAGAUCAAGGCGGUCUGCAAUGAGGGAAUAAAGGUACAUCCAUUUGACGUGAUGUGCUCGUCUCUUACCAGAGUUUUGCAUCCUUCUUCCCACAACAAGACAUAAUGAAGGUGGAAAAUAUCCUGAAUCAGACUACCACCAUGUGUCAGCAUGCCUAGAAUGAUCGAAAUUUUAGAGCAGCUCAAAGUGAAAUUGCCAACAAAAUUCAAAGUCAGGCUCUUGAAGACUUAAGUAAUGUGGGGUACUAAAACAUCCACUCCAUCUACGUGGGAAGGCAAAAAAGAGUUAUGGCAAUUAUCUCGUGAUUUGUCCUCUACUUGACAUGAAGCCGAAGAUCAUAAAAUGCAUUUUGUCUUGUUUUGCUAGAAUGCCAUCUUUAGCUUCUUUGGCUUCACCACUGAACUCUCUGAUUAUUUUUUCAUUAUAUUUCGUAUAACAGUCUUUAGCUUUGUCUUGAACCCUUUGCCUAAACUUCAUUAGAAUGAAUACUAUAUUAUAUAAGAGAAAGUAAUUAUCUCGUGAUUUGUCCUCUACUUGACAUGAAGCCGAAGAUCAUAAAAUGCAUUUUGUCUUGUUUUGCUAGAAUGCCAUCUUUAGCUUCUUUGGCUUCAAUAGCUUCUUAGGUAACUACUUUUCUAAGAAUACUAAAAACACUAACAAAAUGAGGCUUUCUUGGGCAUGUCCCCUUGUUAAUUUGUACGGAGAUGCUCAAGAUAAUCAACAUAUCUAUGGAAAUAACUUUUGAUGUUCUACUCUAGCAAAUAUGCCAAUGCCAUAAAGUGGGUUAACUUAAUUCAUAACACUGCCCAGGGUCUUAUAUGGUGUCAGGGAUUAUUUGAAUUUACUUCCAGCAACAACUAAAACGCUUUCGCAGAAUCUAUAUGCUGAACUUUGACGUUUCUUUUAAGCUGUCAAGUUGCACUUACACAGUUAAAAGAUACAUGAAAAUGCCUUUGCUUUGUUUCUAUGAUGGGACACUUAAUUCACUUCUGUAUUUUUGCAGUAGAUGAUUUUAGUUGUUUAUCUUUACUUUGUAUCAAUUGUCAGAUUAAGCCUUUAAAGAAAAGUCAAAUGUAAAUGUUUCUUCCAAGUAGUAAGCUUGUGCUUUUAUGAUUGGCGGAAGGAUGCAUGAUGCUGAAGUUUCAACACUUUGACAAACUCUAAUUGCAUAUGUUUUGGGACUGGAAGAAACUUGUGAUGUUGCACUUUCAGGUGCUUGGUUUCUGUCAUCCAUGCCCUAAACAUGAAUAAUGUAUUUUAUCGGAUGUUCCCAUAGGGACUGAAUAAUGUAUAUGAUGUGACAUUUUAUGUGGUUGAGUUCUUAUAGUACCAUUGAUGAUUCAAGUACAGUGCUUUUGUCUCAUGUAGAUAUUUUAUUUAUGACAUCCAAAACCUUAUGAGAAUUUUGCAGGAAUAACUAGAGUAAAUAGCUAGGUCGGGCAUAUGCCCGUGCACAGCACGGGCACAGUCCAUCUAGUAUAAUAAGUAAAGCUUCUGUACGACGAAGGGUAGUAUCGGGAUACCAUUACUUUUUAUGGGCAUUUUGGUAUUUUGGUUCAAUUAUAUUCUUUUAUUUGUUGACACGUGUGUAACACUUUAUAUUGGUGGGAGACAACUGGAUUUCACCUGGUUCCCACAGAUUUCAUUUUUCACACUCUUCACCUAAUUUUGCCAUUUCUUCUUGUUCUUUGAUAGCCUCUAUUUCUUUUGCAUUCUCUGUAUCAUUACUCUGUUUUUGCUUUUCUUUUUGUUUGCUCUCUCUCUGUUGCAGGCUCGCCUCCUUCUGAUCAAAUACUUGUUGCAGGUAUCUGGGUUCUAACAUGUUGCAUGCGUUGGUUUUCACAUCUUUAGGCAUUUGCAUCUACUUCUAGAUGAAAGCUUCCUCCACCUUCUAAUGACGCGUGUAGUUGUACUGAUCAGGUUAUGCUUUUUUUCUCAUUCUUUUUAAUUCUUUCUUGUUCUAUCCCUAAUUUUUUCUCCUAUAUUCAUCUGCAAUCUUAGUUUGCUCUUCUCGGUUGAUGUGGGCCUUCUUCACUACGGCUUGACCUGUUCGACAAUAUUCCCCUGUAAAGGGAAGACACACGAGGACAUGUCAAAAAUUCGGUUUGGAUAUUCUGAGGCCAAAGGAAAAUUAUCAGUGUCAACGUAUUUGUCUUCUAUGGGCUCAUUUUGCUACAGAAGAGGGGUGCAAACUUCUGCUGCACAAGCAAGAAAUCUACUAUGAGGGAGUUAAUUUUUUAUGCAAAAAGUGUGGCAGACUAGGGCAUUCAAUGGACAAUU